rnacentral:ncRNA from 1 species
GCAGAGCCCCGAACGGGCUCCCGGACGAGCGGUGCCGUACCCGGAACGCGACAAGACGGCGCUGG